GAUGAACGCUGGCGGCGUGCUUAACACAUGCAAGUCGAACGGUGAAGCAGGAGCUUGCUCUUGUGGAUCAGUGGCGAACGGGUGAGUAACACGUGAGCAACCUGCCCCUGACUCUGGGAUAAGCGCUGGAAACGGCGUCUAAUACUGGAUAUGUGAUGUGACCGCAUGGUCUGCAUCUGGAAAGAAUUUCGGUUGGGGAUGGGCUCGCGGCCUAUCAGCUUGUUGGUGAGGUAAUGGCUCACCAAGGCGUCGACGGGUAGCCGGCCUGAGAGGGUGACCGGCCACACUGGGACUGAGGCACGGCCCAGACUCCUACGGGAGGCAGCAGUGAGGAAUAUUGCACAAUGGGCGGAAGCCUGAUGCAGCAACGCCGCGUGAGGGAUGACGGCCUUCGGGUUGUAAACCUCUUUUAGCAGGGAAGAAGCGAAAGUGACGGUACCUGCAGAAAAAGCACCGGCUAACUACGUGCCAGCCGCCGCGGUAA
rnacentral:rRNA from 1 species